ensembl:lncRNA novel transcript
GAACUGUGAGAAAAUACAUUUCUGUUGCUUAAGUCACCCAGUUUGUGGCAUUUUGUCAUGGCAGUCUGAGCAGACUAAUACGAUGAACUUGCAUUUGGGUUGCUGCUACUCAUAAUGGCUGGCAUUUGUAUAGCACUUUGCAAGGAACUCAUAAAUGUCACAUCAGGCUGCCUCUUGGUGAAUUUUUAAUCAACGGGGAGAAUUUCAGCUACAAAUAGACCAAGAAUCAAGAGGCCCACUAUUGAUCGGUCAAAGUGGCACUUAUGAACCUGAGGUUGAAGCAGUUUGGAUAAAAGGAUUCUGGGCUUUCGAUGGCCCCAGAGACAUCUUUUUCCAUCAAGUCCAGGCUUGCUGAUCGGUACAGCUGAGAACAUGUUGAAUUUGAUGUGCCUGUGGAUAUUUGAGUCUGGAACAUUGAAGACAAGUUUGGUCUGGAGAUGUAGACUGGGGAUAUCUCAGCACACAGAUGAUAACUGAAAUGAUGGAGCGGAUGAUAUAAACUGGAGAGAGUCUGGUGUGGGAAGAGUCUUCCCUGAGGUGGCCGAAAGAUGUAAUUCUUACUCCAAAGACUGAAAUAGAGACAAGAGAAGCUGAAGUUACAGGGUUUUGUCAUUGGGAAGACAGUAGAGUGUGUCAUAUCCCAAGAGUGAAGCAAGGACAAACCAAAGAACAACUGGGAAGAUCUGGGAGAAAAAGGGAGAGGAGAGCCUGACGUUUCAAGAACUCAAGGUUCAGUACUAGGUCUUAGAGGAAGACUUCAUUUUAGCUUUGAUGCUCUCCGCUAGGCACAGAGAAACUUAAGCAGAAUGACAAGACCUGCUGUUUGAGUAACUCACGUUCUGACCAGAGAGACAGACAUGUCAGCAAGAGGUUACAAUACAGUGUGCUCAGAUUCUCCGGGACUUGGAGCACUUGUUCCAGAAAGGAAGGCCAGGGAAGUCUUCCAGGAGUAGAUGGCGCCUCUGCUGACCUGAAGGGUGAGGAAAAAGUGUCCAGUUGCAGAAGAAAUGAUGCAACUGAGUCACAGAGAAGUUAAGUAAUCUGCCUGCCGACACUCGGGUCGAUGCCGCCUCAUUCCAUCACUCGGGCAAUGGAGCCAAAGGCCACGUUCACAACCACUAGGCUGUCCCAGCCCCUUGCUUCAAAGAUAGCCAGGCAGGAGUUAUUUUAUAGAAUGGAAGUAAUUUCUACGGGGCCAAGCAAUAAUAAGGAAAUUGGAAGUCAAGGACUAUCUUCCGAAUGGAGAAGAAGCUCCAUCAACCACAGAAGGAAAUUAUGAUCACUCCUGCCAUCCUGCUCCUUUGUGUAUCCAGGAUGAAGGGGAGAAUUGGAGUCUUGCACAAUGAAAGGACAACAUUGCUGCCAAAACAAUCCAUCGUGACUGUAGACAUAUUUUCCACCCUCAUCCUGCAGGUUUUCUGCCAGUUGUUGGCCCCUCACCAAUUUUGCUCCUGGGCAGUCUGAGGUGGAACAUAAUUUUGUAUAAAACAAAUUAUGCUCAACCUCACUUAUAAUCAGGGAAAUGUGAGUCAAAACCACAAUAAAAUAUCACCUCAUGCUGUU